rnacentral:rRNA from 1 species
AGUGAACGCUGGCGGUAGGCCUAACACAUGCAGGUCGAACGGCAGCACAGUAAGAGCUUGCUCUUACGGGUGGCGAGUGGCGGACGGGUGAGGAAUACAUCGGAAUCUACUUUUUCGUGGGGGAUAACGUAGGGAAACUUACGCUAAUACCGCAUACGACCUACGGGUGAAAGCAGGGGAUCUUCGGACCUUGCGCGAUUGAAUGAGCCGAUGUCGGAUUAGCUAGUUGGCGGGGUAAAGGCCCACCAAGGCGACGAUCCGUAGCUGGUCUGAGAGGUUGAUCAGCCACACUGGAACUGAGACACGGUCCAGACUCCUACGGGAGGCAGCAGUGGGGAAUAUUGGACAAUGGGCGCAAGCCUGAUCCAGCCAUACCGCGUGGGUGAAGAAGGCCUUCGGGUUGUAAAGCCCUUUUGUUGGGAAAGAAAAGCAGCAGGUUAAUACCCCGCUGUUCUGACGGUACCCAAAGAAUAAGCACCGGCUAACUUCGUG